rnacentral:lncRNA from 1 species
UCCUACUCCUAGGCCACAUCUACCUUAGCAGAGGAGAGCAUUCUGUACAGCCUUGGGGCGAGUGGGAGAGAUACUCAGGAGUCAGCAGAGCUUGACCACAGAAGGGAGAGGAAACAGAAGAAUGGCCCAGAACAGGAGGCAGUCUGCUGAGCUCGCUACAGCCAGAGAACCUCACCAGACACAGAGCACAGUCUCAUCUUCCUGCCUGGAGUCGGCCAGCACCAGGAGCAACCCUCAGGCCUUCCUAGCUCUCCAGCCUCCUGCUCCCUCUCUACCUCAGCUCCAGCACAGAUUUCCUCACCCCUGGAGUUCCUUCUGACUCUCCAGGGGCCUUGAAGAGCAUCCCCAAACCCAAACAUAACAGCAUCUUAAAGCAGAACAUCAUGUGGGAGUGGAGUGGAGAGUGAUGUUUAACAGUAUGAAGAUGUGUGCAGUCUUGGUGAAGAACACCAUCAUGAAACUGAGCAGGAAGGAUCACAGUAUUCAGAAGCAAAAGGGUCAGUAUAUAUUAACUGAUUUUGUUUUAAUGUCAUGAGAAAGAAAGCCAACUCC